rnacentral:misc_RNA from 1 species
UUGAUCUGAGGAGUUACUUGGUGCGAUUCCGAUAACUACCAUAUGAUCAUCAACUGGGCUACCAUUUUUCCAAGUUUGAAAAUGGG